UACGAGGGGGGCAAGCGUUGUUCGGAAUUAUUGGGCGUAAAGGGUGCGUAGGUGGUUCGGCAAGUCUUGUGUGAAAUCUUCAGGCUCAACUUGAAGUCUGCACAAGAAACUGCCGGGGCUUGAGUAUGGGGAGAGGUGAGUGGAAUUUCCGGUGUAGCGGUGAAAAUGCGUAGAUAUCGGGAAGGAACACCUGUGGCGAAGGC
rnacentral:rRNA from 1 species